CCUACGGGAGGCAGCAGUCGGGAAUAUUGCGCAAUGGGGGAAACCCUGACGCAGCCAUGCCGCGUGUGUGAAGAAGGCUCUAGGGUUGUAAAGCACUUUCAGUAGGGAAGAAAAGAGUACGGUUAAUACCCGUGCACCCUGACGUUACCUACAGAAGAAGAUCCGGCUAACUCCGUGCCAGCAGCCGCGGUAAUACGGAGGGAUCGAACGUUAAUCGGAAUUACUGGGCGUAAAGCGCGCGUAGGUGGUUUGGUAAGCGGGAUGUGAAAGCCCAGGGCUCAACCUUGGAACUGCAUUCCGAACUGCCUGACUUGAGUACAGUAGAGGGAGGUGGAAUUUCCUGUGUAGCGGUGAAAUGCGUAGAUAUAGGAAGGAACACCAGUGGCGAAGGCGGCCUCCUGGACUGAUACUGACACUGAGGCGCGAAAGCGUGGGGAGCAAACAGGAUUAGAUACCCUGGUAGUCCACGCCGUAAACGAUGACGACUAGCCGUUGGGCCCCGUGUGGGCUUAGUGGCGAAGCUAACGCGAUAAGUUGUCCGCCUGGGGAGUACGGCCGCAAGGCUAAAACUCAAAUGAAUUGACGG
rnacentral:rRNA from 1 species